UGUAAGAAGCUUAGCCCAUGCGGGGAG
rnacentral:piRNA from 1 species